rnacentral:lncRNA from 1 species
CUCUAAAUGCUUUGGUUUUUGAGUUGUAAGCCAACAACUGCAUUUUACCCCUAUGUUCUAUUUUUAGCUGUGGUGGCCAUCUUGAUUUGAUAGCCGGGUCAACGGACACAUUUUUUAAACUAGAUACCCCAAAGAUGAUUGUGGCCAAGUUUGGAUUAAUUUGUCCCAGUAGUUUCAGAGGAGAAGAUUUUUGUAAAUGAUAACCAAGAUUUACGAAAAAUGGUUAAAAAUUGACAGUAAAGGGCAAUAACUCCUAAAUGGGUCAACUGACCAUUUCGGUCACAUUGACUUAUUUGUAAAUCUUACUUUGCUGAACAUUAUUGCUGUUUACAGUUUAUCUCUAUCUAUAAUAACAUUCAAGAUAAUAACCAAAAACAGCAAAAUUUCCUUACAAUUACCAAUUCAAGGGCAUCAACCCAACAACGGAUUGUCCGAUUCAACUGAAAAUUUCAGGGCAGAUAGAUCUUUACC